GUCCGUACAAGAUCAGCAGAGUAGGGGGCAAGAGUAAUUACACCCUCAUCACCAUGAAGCGGCAAAAAGAUUGAAAAGAAAUGGAUGGCCUACAAUCUGAAGAAGUACCAUGUGUGACCUCCCGCUACAUCAAAACCCAAAGACUCAAUAAGCUCGACGGGCACCAUCUCACAAGCUGAUGACUAUCCAGUUGUUAUGCAGUUCCUACCUUACAGCUAAAGUUCUCGUUCGUUUCACUCGUUUUUCA
rnacentral:lncRNA from 1 species